CCUACGGGAGGCAGCAGUGAGGAAUAUUGGUCAAUGGGCGGGAGCCUGAACCAGCCAAGUCGCGUGAGGGAAGACGGUCCUCUGGAUUGUAAACCUCUUUAGGCGGGGAGCAAUGCCGGCAACGCGUGCCCGGAGGGAGAGUACCUGCAGAAUAAGCAUCGGCUAACUCAGUGCCAGCAGCCGAGGUAAGACGGAGGAUGCGAGCGUUAUCCGGAUUUACUGGGUGUAAAGGGAGCGUAGGCGGCUGGCCAAGUCAGAAGUGAAAGCCCGGGGCUUAACCCCGGAACGGCUGUGGAAACUGGCCGGCUGGAGUGCUGGAGAGGCAGGCAGAAUUCCUGGUGUAGCGGUGAAAUGAGUAGAGAUCAGGAGGAACACCGGUGGCGAAGGCGGCCUGCUGGACAGUAACUGACGUUGAGGCUCGAAAGCGUGGGGAGCAAACAGGAUUAGAUACCCUAGUAGUC
rnacentral:rRNA from 1 species